rnacentral:snoRNA from 1 species
AAGCAUAUUACUUUGUCCUAUCAAGAAAAAAGAUAUUUCUGAUGUGUUAAACAAAUCUUUGGAGGUAAACUAGGAGCAUGACUAAUUUAGUCAUUGCUGUCAGUCACCUUCAGACAGUU